CGGGUGAGUAACACGUGGGCAAUCUGCCCUGCACUCUGGGACAAGCCCUGGAAACGGGGUCUAAUACCGGAUACUGACCGUCACGGGCAUCCGUGAGGGUCGAAAGCUCCGGCGGUGCAGGAUGAGCCCGCGGCCUAUCAGCUUGUUGGUGAGGUAACGGCUCACCAAGGCGACGACGGGUAGCCGGCCUGAGAGGGCGACCGGCCACACUGGGACUGAGACACGGCCCAGACUCCUACGGGAGGCAGCAGUGGGGAAUAUUGCACAAUGGGCGAAAGCCUGAUGCAGCGACGCCGCGUGAGGGAUGACGGCCUUCGGGUUGUAAACCUCUUUCAGCAGGGAAGAAGCGAAAGUGACGGUACCUGCAGAAGAAGCGCCGGCUAACUACGUGCCAGCAGCCGCGGUAAUACGUAGGGCGCGAGCGUUGUCCGGAAUUAUUGGGCGUAAAGAGCUCGUAGGCGGCUUGUCACGUCGGUUGUGAAAGCCCGGGGCUUAACCCCGGGUCUGCAGUCGAUACGGGCAGGCUAGAGUUCGGUAGGGGAGAUCGGAAUUCCUGGUGUAGCGGUGAAAUGCGCAGAUAUCAGGAGGAACACCGGUGGCGAAGGCGGAUCUCUGGGCCGAUACUGACGCUGAGGAGCGAAAGCGUGGGGAGCGAACAGGAUUAGAUACCCUGGUAGUCCACGCCGUAAACGGUGGGCACUAGGUGUGGGCGACAUUCCACGUCGUCCGUGCCGCAGCUAACGCAUUAAGUGCCCCGCCUGGGGAGUACGGCCGCAAGGCUAAACUCAAAGGAAUUGACGGGGGCCCGCA
rnacentral:rRNA from 1 species